UUUAACCUCAAAUCAGGUAGGAUUACCCGCUGAACUUAAGCAUAUCAAUAAGCGGAGGAAAAGAAACUAACAAGGAUUCCCCUAGUAACUGCGAGUGGAGCGGGAAGAGCUCAAAUUUAAAAUCUGGCGGUUCUCUGAGCUGUCCGAGUUGUAAUCUAGAGAA
rnacentral:rRNA from 1 species